GCAUAGAAGGCAGUUGACAAGAUUAACCCAAGUGGCACAAAUGAGGAUGAUAGAUACAACAUUGCCCAAUACUUGUUCAAAGAAGAGACGAGGACAACCAAGAAGGGCAAGAUCAAGAAAGGAAAAAUCUUUACCUUGCCUCAUUGCUACGAAGUGUUGAAGGAUGAUGAGAAAUGGAAGAAGCGUAAAGAUUUGGAUGAUUUGCAUUUGAGAAACAAACGCAAGCGCACAAUUGAGUUGAAUGAUGAUGAGGAGGAGGAUGGUGCAUCAACGGAUGACGGCAAGAGAAGCCCCACACCCAACUCGGUUUCAUACUCGAAACCAAAACGACCGGAUGGGUGCAAGAAGGACAAAACCGAAAA